AUCGCUUCUUGGCCUUUUGCCUAAGAUCAAGUGUAGUAUCUGUUCUUAUCAGUUUAACAAAAGCUUUUUUCAUAGAUGAAGCUUUCCAAGUCAGAGUCUUACAUUAU
rnacentral:snRNA from 1 species